rnacentral:rRNA from 1 species
ACUCCUACGGGAGGCUGCAGUGGGGAAUUUUGCACAAUGGGCGGAAGCCUGAUGCAGCGACGCCGCGUGGAGGAUGAAGGCCUUCGGGUUGUAAACUCCUUUUGUAGGGGACAAUGAUGAUGGUACCCUGCGAAUAAGCCACGGCUAACUCUGUGCCAGCAGCCGCGGUAAGACAGAGGUGGCGAGCGUUGUUCGGAAUCACUGGGCUUAAAGGGCGCGUAGGUGGUAGUGCAAGUCUGGGGUGGAAUCCUAUGGCUUAACCAUAGAAUUGCCUUGGAAACUGUAUUACUUGAGUCAGUGAGGGGAGGGUAGAAUUCCUGGUGUAGCGGUGAAAUGCGUAGAUAUCAGGAGGAAGGCCUGUGGCGAAGGCGGCCCUCUGGCGCUGAACUGACACUGAGGCGCGAAAGCGUGGGGAGCAAACAGGAUUAGAUACCCUGGUAGUCCACGCCCUAAACGGUGGGCACUAGGUGUAGGGCUCGUAAGGGUUCUGUGCCGAAGCGAAAGCAUUAAGUGCCCCGCCUGGGG